rnacentral:rRNA from 1 species
GACGAACGCUGGCGGCGUGCUUAACACAUGCAAGUCGAACGGUCAGGCCCUUCGGGGUACACGAGUGGCGAACGGGUGAGUAACACGUGGGUGAUCUGCCCUGCACUUCGGGAUAAGCCUGGGAAACUGGGUCUAAUACCGGAUAGGACCACUGCCUGCAUGGGUGGUGGUGGAAAGCUUUUGCGGUGUGGGAUGGGCCCGCGGCCUAUCAGCUUGUUGGUGGGGUGAUGGCCUACCAAGGCGACGACGGGUAGCCGGCCUGAGAGGGUGACCGGCCACACUGGGACUGAGAUACGGCCCAGACUCCUACGGGAGGCAGCAGUGGGGAAUAUUGCACAAUGGGCGCAAGCCUGAUGCAGCGACGCCGCGUGAGGGAUGACGGCCUUCGGGUUGUAAACCUCUUUCAGCACCGACGAAGCGCAAGUGACGGUAGGUGCAGAAGAAGGACCGACCAACUACGUGCCAGCAGCCGCAGUAA